UACGUAGGUGGCAAGCGUUGUCCGGAUUUACUGGGCGUAAAGAGCGCGCAGGCGGUCGUUUAAGUCGAAUGUGAAAGCCCCCCGGCUCAACUGGGGAGGGUCAUUCGAUACUGAUCGACUUGAAGGCAGGAGAGAGAAGUGGAAUUCCCGGUGUAGUGGUGAAAUGCGUAGAUAUCGGGAGGAACACCAGUGGCGAAGGCGACUUCUUGGCCUGUUCUUGACGCUGAGGCGCGGAAAGCUGGGGGAGCAAACGGG
rnacentral:rRNA from 1 species